rnacentral:rRNA from 1 species
ACUAGAACGUUGAUAGGCAGGGUGUGUAAGCGUUGUGAGGCGUUGAGCUAACCUGUACUAAUUGCCCGUGAGGCUUAACCAUACAACACCCAAGGGGUUUUGUA